UCAUAUGGGACUACCCCCUGAAUUUAAGCAUAUUUAUUAGGGGAGGAAAAGAAACUAACCAGGAUUUUCUUAGUAGCGGCGAGCGAAAAGAAAUCAGUUCAGCACUAAGUCACUUUGUCUAUAUGGCAAACGUGAGAUGCAGUGUAUGGAGCGUCAAUAUUCUAGUAUGAGAAAUUAACGAUUUAAGUCCUUCUUAAAUGAGGCCAUUUACCCAUAGAGGGUGCCAGGCCCGUAUAACGUUAAUGGUUACUAAAUGAUGUUUCCAAAGAGUCGUGUUGCUUGAUAGUGCAGCACUAAGUGGGUGGUAAACUCCAUCUAAAACUAAAUAUAACCAUGAGACCGAUAGUAAACAAGUACCGUGAGGGAAAGUUGAAAAGAACUCUGAAUAGAGAGCUAAACAGUACGUGAAACUGCUUAGAGGUUAAGCCCGAUGAACCUGAAUAUCCGUUAUGGAAAAUUCAUCAUUAAAGUUGUAAUAUUUUUUUCAUUUUCCUUUUUCCAUAUAAGGACAUUGUAAUCUAUUAGCAUAUAACAAAUUUAUCAUAAAAUAUGACUUAUAGUUUAUUCAAAUUAUUAUGCUUGCAUUUUAACAUAGAAUAAAUGUCAUUAAUUUGAUAAAGUGUUGAUAAAUUAAAAUUAAUACAGUCCGUUAAUUUUUCGAAAUUAUAUAAUGGCAUAAUUAUCAUUGAUUUUUGUGUUUAUUAUAUGCAUUUGUAUGAUUAACAAUGCGAAAGAUUCAGGAUACCUUCGGGACCCGUCUUGAAACAUGGACCAAGGAGUCUAACAUAUGUGCAAGUUAUUGGGAGAUAAUCCUAAUAGCGUAAUUAACUUGACUAAUAAUGGGAUUAGUUUUUUAACUAUUUAUAGAUAAUUAACACAAUCCCGGGGUGUUCUAUAUAGUUAUGUAUUAUAAUAAUAUAUUUAUAAUAAUAAUAUAUUUAUAUUAUUUAUGCCUCUAACUGGAACGUACCUUGAGCAUAUAUGCUGUGACCCGAAAGAUGGUGAACUAUACUUGAUCAGGUUGAAGUCAGGGGAAAGACGAAAGACCAAUCGAACCGAGGCCUUAGGGUCGAAACGAUCUUAACCUAUUCUCAAACUUUAAAUGGGUAAGAACCUUAACUUUCUUGAUAUGAAGUUUAAGGUUAUGAUAUAAUGUGCCCAGUGGGCCACUUUUGGUAAGCAGAACUGGCGCUCUGGGAUGAACCAAACGUAAUGUUACGGUGCCCAAAUUAACAACUCAUGCAGAAACCAUGAAAGGCGUUGGUUGCUUAAAACACCAGGACGGUGAUCAUGGAAGUCGAAAUCCGCUAAGGAGUGUGUAACAACUCACCUGCCGAAGCAGCUAGCCCUUAAAAUGGAUGCCGCUUAAGUUGUAUACCUAUACAUUACCGCUAAAGUAGAUGAUUUAUAUUACUUGUGAUAUAAAUUUUGAAACUUUAGUGAGUAGGAAGGUACAAUGGUAUGCGUAGAAGUGUUUGGCGUAAGCCUUCAUGGAGCUGCCAUUGGCACAGAUCUUGGUGGUAGUAGCAAAUAAUCGAAUGAGACCUUGGAGGACUGAAGUGGAUGAUGAUGAUUCCUUCAGAUGAGACCUGAUGCUCGCUCCAGCUAUAUUAAGCAAAAAAUGCUUUGCUUAAACUGUUUCGCAAGAGGUCACCAGAUUCGUGAAUGCCAAAGCGCCCACAACUGCAACACGUGUGGAGACCGGCAUCAUACGCUGCUGCACCGUGGCACUCCAGUUUCCAGCCAAUCCGUGCCCAAUUCCGUACCACUUCCGACUCCUGCCGAAGCUCAGCCUAGCGUUCAGAACUAUUUCGCCUCCGGCAAGAGGGCGGU
rfam:Drosophila persimilis strain MSH-3 cont1.018884, whole genome shotgun sequence.